CUCCACACCCGGAAGCAAAUGUCGAGUAUAAUUUUUUUUUUUUUAACCGUUUAUCAAAGGCUGAGGCUCCGACCAAUCUGCGGAGACCUGGGAGGAAGUUUGUGUGACGUCGUUGAGGGGCGGAGCCAAGGUGGCUCUCAGGGGGCGGGCGUUUGAGAGCAGUGCUUCGGAGUCGAGCGUGAAUGUUUUUGUUGUGUCUUUGAGAGCCAAUUACUUAAUCUCUCUCGCGUCUUUUCCUUCCCCGACCCCCUCCCAGACUCCUUCGCCGCCGUGCUGCGAGGACGGAAGGCGCCGGGGAUCGGUCCGCGUCUCGCAGGCGUGAGAUCUGAGGAGAACGCACCAACUGGCCCAACGGCUCCUGCCUCAGUAGACCCCGCAGCCUAGGGACUAGAGUUGUCACUUAAGUGGACAUGAAGAAGGCGCAAAUAAGUACGGGGGCAACCACGAGCUUUCCAAAGCACCAUGGAAGCAGAGGCUGAAGGAUCUUGAAAUUUGAGGUUAGUCUGGUCUACAUAGUUAGUUCCAUGAGAGCCAGGACUACAUAAGUAAGUUAUUAGGAGAUGUGAAUGAAGUCAGUAUCUGAAUGUCAGAUUAGAAAGUAAGUUUUGUAAAGUCUUAACAUAUACUUAGCUCUACUAUGACUGAUACACAUAAUGUAAAAAAGGAAUACAAACAACUGAAUAAAAACUGCAGAAGAGAUUCCAGUCACUAUAGAAAGUAAAGCUGGAGAGGUGGUUCUGGGGUUAAGAGCAGUUACUGCUCUUGUAGAGUACCCAUUUCCAAUUCCCAGCAUCAGCAUCUGGCAGAGACUCCAGCUCCAGGGCUUUUAUCACCUUUUUCUGGCUUCAGUGGGCGCACACACACAUGCACACACAUACAUAUGUGCGCAUACUCACACAUAGGUGUACACAAUUAAAAACAUAAUAAAAUCUUUUUUAAAAGAAACACAAAAUACUCACUUUUCAAUGAUAACACUACAGUACUGUGUUCCCAGCAAUUUAUUUAAAAAAUAUUUGAAUGAGGUUGAGAAGAAAAAGGACACACAGACAGUAGAGGGAUAUUGGCUUCCCAAUACUCUCCCUGGAGAAGCCAAAAUAUUCCUACAGUGGGCUCCAAAGUUUCUUGCUUAUGCCUUUCCGGCUUGCAUACCUUCUUGCUUAGUCGCAGUUCCUUCUGCUGUAGAGCCUUUUCUUAGUGUCUGUGAAGGGUCUUCCUUACUCAAGUGAGGCCAGCCAGCUAAGACAUCUUAGUUAAGAUGUCAGCUGUUCUUUCUUUCCUCUAACGUCCUGCACUCUUGUCUCCCAUAGUCUGCUCUUCUUUUCUUUUUACAGAGUAUGUGUGUGGUCCUGUGUUAUUCUAAAAUCACUGCUGCUCCACCUCCAUGCAGAACAUGUAGAAUGCAAGUUCCAUGAGGUCAUGCUCAGUGGUUUAGACCAGCCAUUUAAAACAAGGACGAACACUAUCGUUUGCCCAGUGAGACUUUUACAAAUGAAAUGAGUGAGCAGAUGAAUGAAUAAACCUUACCAGGAAGAAAUCCUGUCUGGUGUAAAAGUUGUUUCUUUUUUCAUAUGUGUCUGUCUUUUUGUGGCAUAUGUGACAUGAACAAUUGGACAGUCUACUAGUGCACUAAUCCCUAGAAAAAGGCCACUUCUCAUCUGUUUACCCAAGUCUUGAUUUCAGGAUUUACAAGACCUAGAGAAAAUAAUUCGUUUCAGAAGGUAGUCUCUUAAUGUAAACUCAUGUGAUGAUCAGUCUCCUCUAUAUAUACCAUCAAAAUUCUAGUUAGGCCAGCCACCCCCAAUCCAGUUAUAAUUGUUAUCAAAUAUCUCCAUUUUGACCAGUUGAAUCAUUCCCCUACAUCUAUUAAACCCAUCAUCUAUGAACCUGAUAGCUCAAAAAGGUAAAAUUUUUUUUUGUAAGAAAGAAAAUGCAUGUAUGUGACCACCUCCUUAUCUGUGAACCAAGGAUUAGGGUUUAGGUCUAUGUGUUUGUACAGCAAGCAAUCUUACUGAAUCAGCUCUCUAGCCUCCAAAUUAUUUUACUAAAUGCCCAUGAAUUUCUAAAUGAAAUUUGAUCUUGUCAGCUUUGAACUUUAUGCAUAUUUAAAUGUUUGUAUAAAAAAAUCUUUUCUUUUGUGGUUUUCUUUUGCCCUUCCAUUUUAUGUGGUGUGUAGCUGUGUGGAAUUUGACUGUAAAAAUGUACUCUGUAAAUCUAACAGUUAUGCUUCUGUUACAGUGAUCUUUAAAAAUAAAAGUACUACAGCUAUUCUUGCAAGCGUGCAGAGGAGUACACAUGUGCAUUUUCUAUGAACCACAUCAGCAGGGGGAGAGCUCUCCUUGUGGAAUCUCAUCAUGCCUGAUACUGUACAGCAUCUCAAUUUCAUCAGACUUGGCAGUGUGGGUAGUGACCUGUCAUUGAAAUCUUGACUGUGUUUCCUUGAUGUCUAAUUCAUGUUUAUUAUCUACUUUGAUUUCUUUGUGAGGGAUUCUUGUAUUGAAUCGUCUUUUACUUACAGAUUUCUGAGUUCUUAAGGCUUGAGGUAGUAACUGGUGCUGCUUAAGCUGCACAUACAACUUCCAACAUCUCAUUUGGAAAUAUUUGAUACUGACUUUUAUAGAUGGAAAUCUUCCAUUGGGGGAGUUCAGCUUAACAACUUUUUAUUUUUAUUUUUUUUGGUAAGUGCAUGCUAUAUUUUAGUUGAGAAUGACUUUGCUUUGAAAUCAUGUUGGUACUCUCUGUGAGUAUCUUCUUAAGACUUCAUAGAACUUUCUUAGGCAGCCAGGCAUUCAUUUUGUCUGUAAUGUAAUACUGGUGUCUUGUUACCUAGUUGAACAAUUCUUUUUACCGCUUCCUCUCUUCCAAGAUCUCUUUGCCCUUUGUAUAUUCAGGGGCCAAAUGUCAAAUUCUAUACACUUGGAGUUUUAACUGGAAUAACAUUACAUUUGCAAAUUUAAAAAGUGGUGUUUAUAAUGAUUCAGUCUUUAGAUUUAGGCACGAAGUAUAUCUUCUCAUUUCUUUAGAUCAUCUUUAUUUUCUAAAGCAUGUCAGUAUACUGCUUCUCUGUGUAUAUUCAUAUUACUGCUUCAGAAAUCUCACAAGCUCUUGCUGGCUUUAGGUGUCAUUAAUAUCUAAUGUUAUUGUCAAUGAUGUCAUUCUUAAAUUUGGAUCAUUUGUAACUGGUAUAUGUAAAUGUAGUUGAUUUUUGUAUAUAUCUAUUUGAAACUUAGAGAACUUGCCAAAUUCUUCUGUUAAUUCAAGUGGUUUACUCUGAAUAUUUUUACACACACACCAUCUGCCAAUAAUGAUGUGUUUCUUCUUUUACAGUCUCUUUCCAUUCUGCCUUCUCUUUUCCCUUGCCUUGUGUUGGUUAGAACUUCCAGGACAAUGUUGAAUAAAGAUUCUGAU